UUUAAGAGAGUUUCUUUAUCCUGCCACUGAAGGGAUGUAAACAUGAAUUGAAGUAAUGUUUUUGUUUGUUUUUCUGUGGCUCUGGAGCUUGUAUCAAAUUUCUACAGUUACUUAUUUUUAUUUUUUUUUAGAAGUAUCUUAAAAUAUUCAGUGUUCAUGGAAUAUUUUCUCCAGAACAAAGACUGCUCUGAAGGAUAAUAUCAAAUGCUAAAAGGUUGCAUGAUCCGAAUUUGUCAGUUUUAGAAGAAAGGCACUUCCUCCUUUUUUGAAAGCUUCUGAAUUAUUACGAGCUUCUUUCUGUAACAAUUCUACGCUUCUAUAAGAAAUACUCUGAAGAACCAAAAAGUAGGAAAAAAAGGUAGCUAGAGAACAACCUUCUACCAGGUCUGUUUUUAAAACUGAACUUUGCUUUCAUCUCCAGGGCUGUGAUCAGAUUUUAUUGCCAAACUGAGGUGUUUAAUCAAAAUUCUGAUUCAUAUGAUGGGACACACGUGACCCAAAAUGUGUACUUGGGUUUGAAAGCUUACCUAUGUAAUCAAGGAUGCUGAGAGAGGAGCACCUUGCACUGUAAGUGCCAUGUGUAAGUGAUGCCAUCUUGAAAGAAGCUCUACUCAUACUUAAUAUUUAUUGCUGUUCUUGGUCAUUCUUUUUAAAAUUGAUUCACAGACAUUAGAAUGGGGCAAAAAUGUGGUUUGUGUAAAUAAGUCUAUGUCACUAUACAAAUUCACUGGUUCACUCUCUACGUUGCAACAGAUCGUGAAAAUUUCAGCAUAGAUGGAAGAUGGUGUUACCAGAUUAUUUACUAGGCCUACUUCAGCUUUGUCCAAGGAUCCAACUUCAAGGAAAUUUCAAGAUCAUCUUCAAGAGUUUACUGUGUCAAUUGCCAGCUAUUUAGAGCUAGCCUACAAAAAGUGCUACUUAUACUGUUAUAAAUGUGUUACCUGAUUAUAACAGUAUCUGAAGAGCCAGCUCCCCCACCCCUCAGCCACAGCUGUUAUUAACUGGAAUGUUGUACAGAUGAGCCAUAUCAGUUUUUGAAAGUCCAGAAAAUUAUUCAUAUCCUUUUGAAAAAAACUUUGGUGAAAAUUAAUAGUGAUGAACUUGAAAAAGGUACAGUUUUAUUCCAUACUUUUCUUCACUUCAAAGCCAUAUUUUAAGAUGUUACAAUUUUUUCCCCAGUAUCUCUACACUGACAUAUCUUACACACAUAUUAUGAGCUCACAAGUCUGAAAAGCAAAAUUCAGUUUAUAAAUUUAGUAUGCGCUACCUGUCUGCUAGUGAAUAAAUAUAAAAGAAUAUUCA
rnacentral:lncRNA from 1 species